rnacentral:rRNA from 1 species
UACGGAGGGUGCAAGCGUUAUCCGGAUUUACUGGGCUUAAAGGGAGUGCAGGCGGAUUGGUAAGUCAGUGGUGAAAUACCCGUGCUUAACAUGGGAACUGCCAUUGAUACUAUCAGUCUUGAAUGUUGUUGAGGUUUGCGGAAUGGGUCAUGUAGCGGUGAAAUGCAUAGAUAUGACCCGGAACACCUAUUGCGAAGGCAGCAGGCUAAACAAAUAUUGACGCUGAGGCUCGAAAGCGUGGGGAUCAAACAGG